UACAGAGGUCUCAAGCGUUGUUCGGAUUCAUUGGGCGUAAAGGGUGCGUAGGCGGCGCGGUAAGUCGGGUCGUGAAAUCUCGGAAGCUUAACUCCGAAACUGCAUUCGAUACUGCCGUGCUUGAGGACUGGAGAGGAGACUGGAAUUUACGGUGUAGCGGUGAAAUGCGCAGAUAUCAGGAGGAACACCGGUGGCGAAGGCGGGCUCUGGGCCGAUGAACUGACGCUGGAGGAGCGAAAGCGUGGGGAGCGAACAG
rnacentral:rRNA from 1 species